AAUCAACGCUGGCGGCGUGCCUAACACAUGCAAGUCGAACGCGAAAGCCCCUUCGGGGGCAAGUAGAGUGGCGUCCGGGUGAGUAACACGUGGGUAAUCUACCUCCGGGUGGGGAAUAACUCGCCGAAAGGUGGGCUAAUACCGCAUAAUGCAGCGGCACCGAAUGGUGAUUAGUUGUUAAAGCGGGGGACCUUAGGGCCUCGCGUCUGGAGAGGAGCCUGCGGCAGAUUAGCUUGNGGUAGGGUAAUGGCCUACCAAGGCUGCGAUCUGUAGCUGGUCUGAGAGGACGGCCAGCCACACUGGCACUGACACACGGGCCAGACUCCUACGGGAGGCAGCAGUGGGGAAUUUUGGGCAAUGGGCGAAAGCCUGACCCAGCAGCGCCGCGUGAAGGAGGAAAUCCUUCGGGAUGUAAACUUCACAAGCAAGGGAAGAGCGCGCAGGGUCGAAUAAACUCUGCGUCCGACGGUACCUUGCGUAAGCCACGG
rnacentral:rRNA from 1 species